rnacentral:lncRNA from 1 species
UAAGCUUUUACAAUAAGUGUGUAGUAUGUGAUGUUGAUGUGUUCUGAAAACAGAGUUGAAGGAUUUAAGAGUUAAUAGCAACUGCCUUGGCUGCAGAAUUAUAGCAGAUUUUUUUUUUUUGACGGAGUCUUGCUCUGUUGCCCAGGCUGGAGUGCAGUGGCACAAUCUCGGUUCACUGCAAGCUCCACCUCCUGGGUUCACAACUGGAUGUGUCCUAGACCACAGGCAAUCUCAGGAGAGUUGAGCAAAGCCAUGGAGGAGUCUUUGAGCCACUGCUGUCCGUCAGAGGAGUCCCCGGUCUCCCAGGAAUGUCCUGCCUCAGUGUCACUGGUGUGACCCAUCACUGGCUGGGAACAGCCCAUGGGAAGCAGGGUCUCUGCACCAAUGACACUGAGGAUGUCAGAGCACAGGAGUGGGGCCUUGGGUGAUUACCCAGGAGUGUGGCUCAAACCUUCUGUCCUGAGAGGUCUGGGCCCUUGGAAAUCAAAUCCUCUCAGGCUGGAUUGCUGGAUGAUUCUGCUCACAUUUACAAAGGGACAAGGCAAACCAGAAGGCCCCCAAGUAGAUCUCUGGUUUUCAUACGCACACUUCUGCCCUCAUUGUGUGAAAGUAGCCAUGCCUCCUCCUGGAGAUCAGGAUCUACUACCUGCACCUGGAGAGGAAGAGACUCCUUUUCUCACCAGCUGGUCUCUGGGCACAUACUGUCCAAACUUCUCUGGUGACAACCAUAAUGUGUAGUUCAAUGGGCUGUCA